rnacentral:rRNA from 1 species
UGGGGAAUAUUGGACAAUGGGGGGAACCCUGAUCCAGCCAUGCCGCGUGUGUGAAGAAGGCCUUAUGGUUGUAAAGCACUUUAAGCGAGGAGGAGGGUACUGGUAUUAAUACUACCAGGUACUGGACGUUACUCGCAGAAUAAGCACCGGCUAACUCUGUGCCAGCAGCCGCGGUAAUACAGAGGGUGCGAGCGUUAAUCGGAUUUACUGGGCGUAAAGCGUGCGUAGGCGGCUAAUUGAGUCGGAUGUGAAAUCCCCGAGCUUAACUUGGGAAUUGCGUUCGAUACUGGUUAGCUAGAGUGUGGGAGAGGAUGGUAGAAUUCCAGGUGUAGCGGUGAAAUGCGUAGAGAUCUGGAGGAAUACCGAUGGCGAAGGCAGCCAUCUGGCCUAACACUGACGCUGAGGUACGAAAGCAUGGGGAGCAAACAGG